rnacentral:rRNA from 1 species
GACAGAGGGUGCAAACGUUGCUCGGAAUCACUGGGCGUAAAGCGCACGUAGGCGGCUUUUUAAGUCAGGGGUGAAAUCCUGGAGCUCAACUCCAGAACUGCCUUUGAUACUGAGAAGCUUGAGUCCGGGAGAGGUGAGUGGAACUGCGAGUGUAGAGGUGAAAUUCGUAGAUAUUCGCAAGAACACCAGUGGCGAAGGCGGCUCACUGGCCCGGUACUGACGCUGAGGUGCGAAAGCGUGGGGAGCAAACGGG